CUUUCUUUGCGACUUUCCGGCACAGGCGAGCGUUCCUUCUCUGACGUCGGUGACACUUCUUGAGGAGAGGCGAGUCCGCGGAACCAUAGCCAUGACUGAGGCUGAUGUGAAUCCGAAGGCCUACCCUCUUGCAGAUGCCCACCUCACCAAGAAACUAUUGGACCUCGUUCAGCAGUCAUGUAACUACAAGCAGCUUUGGAAAGGAGCCAAUGAAGCCACCAAAACCCUCAACAGAGGCAUCUCUGAGUUCAUUGUGAUGGCUGCAGACACCGAGCCCCUGGAGAUUAUCCUGCACCUCCCGCGGCUGUGCGAAGACAAGAACGUGCCCUACGUGUUUGUGUGCUCCAAGCAGGCCCUGGGGCGGGCCUGUGGGGUCUCCAGGCCUGUCAUCGCCUGUUCUGUCACCAUCAAAGAAGGCUCCCAGCUGAAGCAGCAGAUCCAAUCCAUUCAGCAGUCCAUUGAAAGGCUCUUAGUCUAAACCGGUGGCCUCUGCCACACUCUCCCUACCGACUCCUCCCCUGGGGGUUAUGUAUCAUAUUAGCAUACGGGUUAGCAUGUCGUGUUC